rnacentral:rRNA from 1 species
GACGAACGCUGGCGGCGUGCCUAAUACAUGCAAGUCGAACGCAUUUUCUUUCACCGUAGCUUGCUACACCGAAAGAAAAUGAGUGGCGAACGGGUGAGUAACACGUGGGUAACCUGCCCAUCAGCGGGGGAUAACACUUGGAAACAGGUGCUAAUACCGCAUAAUUCCAUUUACCGCAUGGUAGAUAGUUGAAAGGCGCUUUUGCGUCACUGAUGGAUGGACCCGCGGUGCAUUAGCUAGUUGGUGGGGUAACGGCCUACCAAGGCUGCGAUGCAUAGCCGACCUGAGAGGGUGAUCGGCCACACUGGGACUGAGACACGGCCCAGACUCCUACGGGAGGCAGCAGUAGGGAAUCUUCGGCAAUGGACGCAAGUCUGACCGAGCAACGCCGCGUGAGGGAAGAAGGGUUUCGGAUCGUAAAACUCUGUUGUUAGAAAAGAACAAGGAUGAGAGUGGAAAGUUCAUCCCUUGACGGUAUCUAACCAGAAAGCCACGGCUAACUACGUG